UACGUAGGUGGCAAGCGUUAUCCGGAAUUAUUGGGCGUAAAGGGCGCGCAGGUGGUUAAUUAAGUCUGAUGUGAAAGCCCACGGCUUAACCGUGGAGGGUCAUUGGAAACUGGUUGACUUGAGUGCAGAAGAGGGAAGUGGAAUUCCAUGUGUAGCGGUGAAAUGCGUAGAGAUAUGGAGGAACACCAGUGGCGAAGGCGGCUUCCUGGUCUGCAACUGACACUGAGGCGCGAAAGCGUGGGGAGCAAACAGG
rnacentral:rRNA from 1 species